rnacentral:rRNA from 1 species
GGGAAUAUUGCACAAUGGGGGAAACCCUGAUGCAGCAACGCCGCGUGAAGGAAGAAGGGUUUCGGCUCGUAAACUUCUAUCGAUAGGGACGAAAGAGAUGACGGUACCUAAAUAAGAAGCCCCGGCUAACUACGUGCCAGCAGCCGCGGUAAUACGUAGGGGGCAAGCGUUAUCCGGAAUUACUGGGUGUAAAGGGAGCGUAGGCGGCAAGGUAAGUAAGAUGUGAAAGCCCGCAGCUUAACUGCGAGGAUUGCAUUUUAAACUAUCUAGCUUGAGUACAGGAGAGGUAAGCGGAAUUCCUAGUGUAGCGGUGAAAUGCGUAGAUAUUAGGAAGAACACCAGUGGCGAAGGCGGCUUACUGGACUGUAACUGACGCUGAGGCUCGAAAGCGUGGGGAGCGAACAGG